GAAUCUUCGGCAAUGGACGAAAGUCUGACCGAGCAACGCCGCGUGAGUGAGGAAGGUCCUCGGGUCGUAAAGCUCUGUUGCCAGGGAAGAAUGGCCGGGAGAGGGAAUGCUCCCGGUAUGACGGUACCUGAGAAGAAAGCCCCGGCUAACUACGUGCCAGCAGCCGCGGUAAUACGUAGGGGGCAAGCGUUGUCCGGAAUUAUUGGGCGUAAAGCGCGCGCAGGCGGUUCUUUAAGUCUUGUGUUUAAGCCCGGGGCUCAACCCCGGUACGCAUGGGAAACUGGAGGACUGGAGUGCAGGAGAGGAAAGUGGAAUUCCACGUGUAGCGGUGAAAUGCGUAGAGAUGUGGAGGAACACCAGUGGCGAAGGCGACUUUCUGGCCUGUAACUGACGCUGAGGCGCGAAAGCGUGGGGAGCAAACAGG
rnacentral:rRNA from 1 species